rnacentral:lncRNA from 1 species
CCAAAUGGAAGCGUUAUCUUUCACGCAGCUGAUGCGCAUGAGUCCUCUGUCUCUGUUCGUGUUAGGCAAUCUGUCACGCCCGCUGCGUUUGAUGUUCAUUGAGGCCAUGAGGUAUCGUCGAGCUCUAGACGUUAAAUUAAGCAGUUGUUGGGAGGUAACCCAACUGUUUUUCUUUGUUUUUUUUUCUCUUUCGUUUAGUUUCUUUUGUUUCUUUGUUUUCUUUGUUUUGGGGGUUUUAGUGCAGUGUUGAGCUUGGAAGAUGCGGAAACUCGCGCCUUGUUCAUACCAUCACCACUGUGGAGCAUGUGUUUUCUGUGAGUAGUGACACACAUAUCAUCAUCCCUCCAAACUUAUUUUCGAACUUAU